rnacentral:tRNA from 1 species
GUGAGCAGAUAAUCUUGGAAGAUUGACCGAUCUGUAAAAUCGGUGCAGUAUUGCUAAGUGAGUUCGAUUCUCUCCUGCUCAA